CAGUCGACGGCAGCACGGGUGCUUGCACCUGGUGGCGAGUGGCGAACGGGYGAKUAAUACAUCGGAACAUGUCCUGUAGUGGGGGAUAGCCCGGCGAAAGCCGGAUUAAUACCGCAUACGAUCYAYGGAUGAAAGCGGGGGACCUUCGGGCCUCGCGCUAUAGGGUUGGCCGAUGGCUGAUUAGCUAGUUGGUGGGGUAAAGGCCUACCAAGGCGACGAUCAGUAGCUGGUCUGAGAGGACGACCAGCCACACUGGGACUGAGACACGGCCCAGACUCCUACGGGAGGCAGCAGUGGGGAAUUUUGGACAAUGGGCGAAAGCCUGAUCCAGCAAUGCCGCGUGUGUGAAGAAGGCCUUCGGGUUGUAAAGCACUUUUGUCCGGAAAGAAAUCCUUGGUUCUAAUAUAGCCGGGGGAUGACGGUACCGGAAGAAUAAGCACCGGCUAACUACGUGCCAGCAGCCGCGGUAAUACGUAGGGUGCGAGCGUUAAUCGGAAUUACUGGGCGUAAAGCGUGCGCAGGCGGUUUGCUAAGACCGAUGUGAAAUCCCCGGGCUCAACCUGGGAACUGCAUUGGUGACUGGCAGGCUAGAGUAUGGCAGAGGGGGGUAGAAUUCCACGUGUAGCAGUGAAAUGCGUAGAGAUGU
rnacentral:rRNA from 1 species